rnacentral:rRNA from 1 species
GCAUAUCAAUAAGCGGAGGAAAAGAAACUAACAAGGAUUCCCCUAGAAGCGGCGAGCGAAGCGGGAAGAGCUCAAAUUUGUAAUCUGGCGUCCUCCGGGCGUCCGAGUUGUAAUCUAUAGAGACGUUUUCCGUGCCGGACCGUGUCCAAGUCCCUUGGAACAGGGUAUCAAAGAGGGUGACAAUCCCGUACUUGACACGACGACCGGUGCUCUGUGAUACGUUUUCUACGAGUCGAGUUGUUUGGGAAUGCAGCUCAAAAUGGGUGGUAAAUUCCAUCUAAAGCUAAAUAUAGGCGAGAGACCGAUAGCGAACAAGUACCGUGAGGGAAAGAUGAAAAGCACUUUGGAAAGAGAGUUAAACAGUAUGUGAAAUUGUUGAAAGGGAAACGAUUGAAGUCAGUCAUGUCCAUUGGAUUCAGCUGGUUCUGCCAGUGUAUUUCCUUUGGACGGGUCAACAUCAGUUUGAGCCGGCGGAUAAUGGCAGAGGGAAUGUGGCACCCCCGGGUGUGUUAUAGCCCUUUGUCGCAUACGUCGGCCCAGACUGAGGAAUGCAGCUCGCCUUUAUGGCCGGGGUUCGCCCACGUACGAGCUUAGGAUGUUGGCAUAAUGGCUU